rnacentral:tRNA from 1 species
GGGCGUGUGAAUGUAGCGGAUAUCACAAGGGUAUGCGAUGCCUUUGACCUGGGUUCAAAUCCCAGCACGCCCA